UACGUAGGGUGCAAGCGUUGUCCGGAAUUAUUGGGCGUAAAGAGCUCGUAGGCGGUCUGUCGCGUCUGCUGUGAAAACUCGGGGCUUAACCCCGGGCCUGCAGUGGGUACGGGCAGACUAGAGUGCGGUAGGGGAGACUGGAAUUCCCGGUGUAGCGGUGAAAUGCGCAGAUAUCAGGAGGAACACCGGUGGCGAAGGCGGGUCUCUGGGCCGUAACUGACGCUGAGGAGCGAAAGCGUGGGGAGCGAACAGG
rnacentral:rRNA from 1 species